rnacentral:rRNA from 1 species
ACGAAAAAUGAAUACCAAGUCUCAAGAGUGAACACGUAAUUCAUUACGAAGUUUAAUUCUUUGAGCAUCAAACUUUUAAAUUGAAGAGUUUGAUCAUGGCUCAGAUUGAACGCUGGCGGCAGGCCUAACACAUGCAAGUCGAACGGUAACAGGAAGCAGCUUGCUGCUUUGCUGACGAGUGGCGGACGGGUGAGUAAUGUCUGGGAAACUGCCUGAUGGAGGGGGAUAACUACUGGAAACGGUGGCUAAUACCGCAUAACGUCGCAAGACCAAAGAGGGGGACCUUCGGGCCUCUUGCCAUCAGAUGUGCCCAGAUGGGAUUAGCUUGUUGGUGAGGUAACGGCUCACCAAGGCGACGAUCCCUAGCUGGUCUGAGAGGAUGACCAGCCACACUGGAACUGAGACACGGUCCAGACUCCUACGGGAGGCAGCAGUGGGGAAUAUUGCACAAUGGGCGCAAGCCUGAUGCAGCCAUGCCGCGUGUAUGAAGAAGGCCUUCGGGUUGUAAAGUACUUUCAGCGGGGAGGAAGGUGUUGUGGUUAAUAACCGCAGCAAUUGACGUUACCCGCAGAAGAAGCACCGGCUAACUCCGUGCCAGCAGCCGCGGUAAUACGGAGGGUGCAAGCGUUAAUCGGAAUUACUGGGCGUAAAGCGCACGCAGGCGGUCUGUCAAGUCGGAUGUGAAAUCCCCGGGCUCAACCUGGGAACUGCAUUCGAAACUGGCAGGCUUNNNNNNNNNNNNNNNNNNNNGUAGCGGUGAAAUGCGUAGAGAUCUGGAGGAAUACCGGUGGCGAAGGCGGCCCCCUGGACAAAGACUGACGCUCAGGUGCGAAAGCGUGGGGAGCAAACAGGAUUAGAUACCCUGGUAGUCCACGCCGUAAACGAUGUCUACUUGGAGGUUGUGCCCUUGAGGCGUGGCUUCCGGAGCUAACGCGUUAAGUAGACCGCCUGGGGAGUACGGCCGCAAGGUUAAAACUCAAAUGAAUUGACGGGGGCCCGCACAAGCGGUGGAGCAUGUGGUUUAAUUCGAUGCAACGCGAAGAACCUUACCUGGUCUUGACAUCCACGGAAGUUUUCAGAGAUGAGAAUGUGCCUUCGGGAACCGUGAGACAGGUGCUGCAUGGCUGUCGUCAGCUCGUGUUGUGAAAUGUUGGGUUAAGUCCCGCAACGAGCGCAACCCUUAUCCUUUGUUGCCAGCGGUCCGGCCGGGAACUCAAAGGAGACUGCCAGUGAUAAACUGGAGGAAGGUGGGGAUGACGUCAAGUCAUCAUGGCCCUUACGACCAGGGCUACACACGUGCUACAAUGGCGCAUACAAAGAGAAGCGACCUCGCGAGAGCAAGCGGACCUCAUAAAGUGCGUCGUAGUCCGGAUUGGAGUCUGCAACUCGACUCCAUGAAGUCGGAAUCGCUAGUAAUCGUGGAUCAGAAUGCCACGGUGAAUACGUUCCCGGGCCUUGUACACACCGCCCGUCACACCAUGGGAGUGGGUUGCAAAAGAAGUAGGUAGCUUAACCUUCGGGAGGGCGCUUACCACUUUGUGAUUCAUGACUGGGGUGAAGUCGUAACAAGGUAACCGUAGGGGAACCUGCGGUUGGAUCACCUCCUUACCUUAAAGAACUGUUCUUUGCAGUGCUCACACAGAUUGUCUGAUGAAAA